AGAGUUUGAUCCUGGCUCAGAAUGAACGUUGGCGGCGUGGAUUAGGCAUGCAAGUCGUACGGGCCGCAAGGCCAGUGGCGCAAGGGUGAGUAAGGCGACGGUAACCAACCCCAUGAAUGGGUAUAGCCGCGGGAAACUGCGGGUAAUCCCCAGCGACGUGCGAGGCCGGCAUCGGUCUCUCACCAAAGCUCCGGCGUCGUGGGACGGGCCGUCGUGGUAUUAGGUAGUUGGCGGGGUAACGGCCCACCAAGCCUGCGAUGCCUACCGGGCGUGCGAGCGUGGCCCGGCACACUGGGACUGAGACACUGCCCAGACUCCUACGGGAGGCUGCAGUCGAGAAUCUUCGGCAAUGGGCGCAAGCCUGACCGAGCGACGCCGCGUGGAGGACGAAGGCCUUCGGGUUGUAAACUCCUGUCGAGGGGGAAGAAGCCGCAAGGUUGACUGAUCCCUGGAGGAAGCACGGGCUAAGUUCGUGCCAGCAGCCGCGGUAAGACGAACCGUGCGAACGUUAUUCGGAAUCACUGGGCUUAAAGCGCGUGUAGGCGGGAGGGCACGUCCGUCGCUGAAAUCCCCCGGCUCAACCGGGGAACGGGCGCGGAUACGACUCUCCUCGAGGAACGUAGGGGGACCUGGAACUUCCGGUGGAGCGGUGAAAUGCGUUGAGAUCGGAAGGAACGCCCGUGGCGAAAGCGAGGUCCUGGACGUUGUCUGACGCUGAGACGCGAAAGCCAGGGGAGCGAACGGGAUUAGAUACCCCAGUAGUCC
rnacentral:rRNA from 1 species